GUUCCCAUUUGACUGCCACAUUUUCCUUUGCUAAUAAUUGUAGUGGCUGUGCUUGUGGAUAGAGUAAAAUUGCCAUGAUCUGAAGAGGGUGGAUUGUUUUUGUGUUCUCCUCCUAUAUGAAAUGGCUGAACAGAGAAAA